AUUUGUUUGCAUAGUAAAUGGCUUGUUUACCUUUACAACUUUAGAAAAUCUUGCUUUGCAGUCUGCCUGGAGCUGAUACUUAUAAUCAUUAACAAUUCUGGUUUCUAAGAAAGAUGGUAAUAUGAAUAUUAAAAAAUUUUAGAAUCAGAUGCAAAAUAUCCAAUGUAUUCUCUACAAUUGCUUUUUGUUGCCAUCUGUGCCACUUGCCUUUCUUACUAUCUUCAGUAGAAUUCACUUUUCAUCAGCAGACACUGAGUCAUAGGACAUUCUGUAUCAAUUUUGUGUUGUUCCUGGACAUUCACAGAUAGAUGAAUUAUGUUCAGAAUCAAUAAAACCAAAAUUAUUUUCAUUGAUGGCAUUUUCACACGGCAUUUAUGUUGUGCAGAGAUUCAGGUAAAAUGCCAGCGAUGCACUUUUAAUGGACAGGGGUCCGUGUGCACGGGAGAGUCUGGGCCACCAUUCAGCAGGUGGGGACGCCAUCCCUUGGUCCAGGUCUGAUGGGGAGAUGCACAGAAGGAUGUGUGGCACGGGAGAGUCUGGGCCACCAUUCAGCAGGUGGGGACGCCAUCCCUUGGUCCAGGUCUGAUGGGGAGAUGCGCAGAAGGAUGUGUGUGCUUGGCACAGCAGAGGGUAACACUCCCGAGUCCACUCAUAACAUGCCAGGUGGGGACGCCAUCCCUUGGUCCAGGUCUGAUGGGGAGAUGCACAGAAGGAUGUGUGUGCUUGGCACAGCAGAGGGUAACACUCCCGAGUCCACUCAUAACAUGCCAGGUGGGGACGCCAUCCCUUGGUCCAGGUCUAAUGGGGGAGAUGCACAGAAGGAUGUGUGUGCUUGGCACAGCAGAGGGUAACACUCCCGAGUCCACUCAUAACAUGCCAGGUGGGUAGCAGUACACGCUAGGAAAGGCCUUUCGACAGAGACCUCUCCACUAGCCCCCACGAUGGGACAGGCAGCAAAAGCCCUCCCCUUCACCCCGUUUCUACUGAAGUCAAACCACUCUCUCAAAUACUGAGAAGAACAGCUGUUAAGGAGGAGUUCGGUUCCAGGUCUGGAUUUGGAUUUUGCUUGUUUGUUGUCGAUUGGACAUUUUGCAGAAUGCCCAGUGUGUUAGACUUGUUUCACUCUGAGCGGAAUUUGUGCUGGAAACAGUGUCGAUUAAGCUUUUUAACAUUUUUCUUACACUUUUUAAAUAACUUUUAAUUUCCCAA
ensembl:lncRNA